rnacentral:sRNA from 1 species
AAAAAUGUAUAUCUUAGUAGAGGUCGCUUGACGAAACUAUGGAAACAACUAUUCAGCUAUUUUUCAACUGUCCACUUAGACCCAACAUGAUCACAGUCAGCAGUGGAAGGACCACGUCCAAAGAAAUAAAAAAAGCUGGCUGGAUAACAUAAAAGAGUGGACCGACCUCCUUGUUGAUAUCCUGCAAAGGACAUCUGCUGACUGGGAAGUGAAGGAAUUUGGUUACUCAAACUGCAGCGACCCUUAUUACGUUACGUUAUUAAUAUCACAAAACUUGCAAUCAAGCUGAAGUUAAUGAACAGUAAAUUAAAAUCAUCCUAAAUAAUUUCUUUAACUAACAAAGGAUGUUGCUU